AGAGUUUGAUCAUGGCUCAGAUUGAACGCUGGCGGCAGGCUUAACACAUGCAAGUCGAACGGUAACAGGGAGAAGCUUGCUUCUUUGCUGACGAGUGGCGGACGGGUGAGUAAUGCUUGGGAAUCUGGCUUAUGGAGGGGGAUAACUACGGGAAACUGUAGCUAAUACCGCGUAAUAUCUUCGGAUUAAAGGGUGGGACUUUCGGGCCACCUGCCAUAAGAUGAGCCCAAGUGGGAUUAGGUAGUUGGUGGGGUAAAGGCCUACCAAGCCGACGAUCUCUAGCUGGUCUGAGAGGAUGGCCAGCCACACUGGAACUGAGACACGGUCCAGACUCCUACGGGAGGCAGCAGUGGGGAAUAUUGCACAAUGGGGGGAACCCUGAUGCAGCCAUGCCGCGUGAAUGAAGAAGGCCUUCGGGUUGUAAAGUUCUUUCGGUGAUGAGGAAGGUGUUUGUUUUAAUAGAACAAGCAAUUGACGUUAGUCACAGAAGAAGCACCGGCUAACUCCGUGCCAGCAGCCGCGGUAAUACGGAGGGUGCGAGCGUUAAUCGGAAUGUCUGGGCGUAAAGGGCACGCAGGCGGUGACUUAAGUGAGAUGUGAAAGCCCCGGGCUUAACCUGGGAAUUGCAUUUCAUACUGGGUCGCUAGAGUAUUUUAGGGAGGGGUAGAAUUCCACGUGUAGCGGUGAAAUGCGUAGGGAUGUGGAGGAAUACCGAAGGCGAAGGCAGCCCCUUGGGAAUAUACUGACGCUCAUGUGCGAAAGCGUGGGGAGCAAACAGGAUUAGAUGCCCUGGUAGUCCACGCUGUAAACGCUGUCGAUUUGGGGACUGGGCUUAGAGCUUGGUGCCCGUAGCU
rnacentral:rRNA from 1 species